rnacentral:misc_RNA from 1 species
UGUGGGAGCGAACUUGCUCGCGAUGGCGCCGGGUCAGUCAGCAGUGAAGUUGGCUGACCCACUGCUAUCGCGAGCAAGCUCGCUCCCACA